GUUAAGUGUCUGAAUAUUAAUGUCAAUGAUUUCAGUUUCUCUCUUAAAGAUAUUUGCAAUGUGAAAGGUUUUCACACAAAUCCAAGUUUUGAUUAAAGUUGUGUUCUUAUAACCGAACAGUGUUAAUCCUCUCAAGGGGGUGGUUAUUGGUUAAAGGAACACAAACCUGUAUUCCUGACCCUAUAGUGUUAAAACCACCAUCUAGCCCCCCUGGGCCCCUCAUUGCCUCCCUAAAUAUAGCAACAUCUUACAUGUACUCAAGCCUGAAGCUGCUGGCUCUGCACUGUCUGCCUACAUCAUUAGAAGUGGUAGCCUGAUCCAAUCAC